ACGACUACAUCACAUUGAAACAUUGGUUCCCAUAUGAUCACCAAAAUUAAGCAAAGUUGAGCCUGGUCAGUACCUAGAUUGGUGACCACUUGGGAAUACCAAGUGCUGUAA